CCUACGGGGGGCAGCAGUCGAGAAUCAUUCACAAUGGGGGAAACCCUGAUGGUGCGACGCCGCGUGGGGGAAUGAAGGUCUUCGGAUUGUAAACCCCUGUCAUGUGGGCGCAAAUUAAAAAGAUAGUACCACAAGAGGAAGAGACGGCUAACUCUGUGCCAGCAGCCGCGGUAAUACAGAGGUCUCAAGCGUUGUUCGGAAUCACUGGGCGUAAGGCGUGCGUAGGCUGUUUCGUAAGUCGUGUGUGAAAGGCGCGGGCUCAACCCGCGGACGGCACAUGAUACUGCGAGACUAGAGUAAUGGAGGGGGAACCGGAAUUCUCGGUGUAGCAGUGAAAUGCGUAGAUAUCGAGAGGAACACUCGUGGCGAAGGCGGGUUCCUGGACAUUAACUGACGCUGAGGCACGAAGGCCAGGGGAGCGAAAGGGAUUAGAUACCCCUGUAGUC
rnacentral:rRNA from 1 species